rnacentral:misc_RNA from 1 species
UUACUUGUAUUCUUUCUUCUAACACUAUUAAAUCAUGGACAUGAUAAAAAGUGUUUGGUCCAACUGAACAUCCCAAAUCUGCAAGAUGAAAUGUAUUCGAAGCAAGGGGAAUAUAGCUGAAGUCCACCUUUGUAGCAAUCACCUCAUUAAUUCGUUCCUUUAGAACACCAACCAUUUUUCUCUGUAAAAGAUGGGUCAAGAUAACUCAUCAGAUGUUAUAACUCCAAUUUACACCAAGAAAUGACAAUUGACUAGACUAGCUUAACUCCAACAGUUCUGAAAUUCAAAUAUGGUGGUUUUGACCACUAAAGUCUCAGGUCUACAUUCUGGAUGAGAUAAUGUCGACACUAUAUUUUGGCCGAUCCCCGGAAUCAAUAAAUUUCGAAACCAAUCUCCAGCACUAGGUCUCCCUUUGCCAGCCAAUUAUAUUUCCGAUCUCUCUUUACCGGACAACCACAUUUCCGACCUCUCCUCGAAAGGAAUCGAAUCAAUACUAAGUCCCCAUGUCAUUUAAAGCCUCACCGACCUCUCAAACCAAUUGUCAAAUCUCCUGACUAGUCAAUUACAUUCCCGAUCUCUCUCGUCAGAAGAAACUGAAACAGCACUAGAUCUUCAUUUUAAAAGUUUAGGAAUAAUCAAGUUAAGGUUCCAAUAUGGUUUAAUGGCGAUCCUGAUCUUAAGUACUCGAGCCAAAAUCCCAAUUUUAAAUUAAGUCCUGUUU